GAAUUCGAUUCAGGCCUAACACAAGCAAGUCGUACGGGGAUUUUUAAUUCAAGUGGCGGACGGGUGUGUAACACGUAAGAAUUUGCCUUUAGGAGGGGGACAACAACUGGAAACGGUUGCUAAUACCCCAUAUGCCUUCGAGUGAAAUGGAUUUUUCCGCCUAAAGAGAAGCUUGCGGCUGAUUAGCUUGUUGGUGAGGUAAUGGCUCACCAAGGCGACGAUCAGUAUCUGGUUUGAGAGGAGGAUCAGACACACUGGAACUGAGACACGGUCCAGACUCCUACGGGAGGCAGCAGUGGGGAAUUUUCC
rnacentral:rRNA from 1 species